UAUGUGUUGGGACAUGAACUUCUUAAGAAUUUCUACUCUGUCUCCUAUACCUCUUGGCCCCAGGUGCCCAGAACGGUGCAUUGUAACAAUAACAGCAACAACAACAGAGGGCAGCUGAAUCGAAUUGGACAGAGGCCAAUAACUUCUGGCUCCAGUGCUGGCAGUUUGAGUGAUCUGAUGAAAAGUCCCAGACUGCGUGCUGGUGAGGACUGGGAGCAAGAGAAGAAAUUGGAUUUGAAUAAUUGAAUUUUAAGAAGGAGGCAUAUGCUUCUGCUGUAACCUCCCCACACCAGACAGCAGAGCCCAGAUGCAAGUCAAAAUGCAUUAUGUAUUUAAUGUGUCUCAUGGGGUUGGCGUUUGAGAUAAUAGGAGGAGAAGGCAAGGAUUAUAAUCAAAGUGGCAACAUCUGAAGACAUUUAGCUGUGUGAAAGAUGCAAUGAGGUGUCCGAAGCCCUGGAUUAGAGGGAUUCGCUCCAGAGCCGUGAGGCUUGAGGCGGCUGAGUUCAGAGGUGCCUGGAUUCCAAGUGGGGAGGCUGGGGAACCCCGCAGGAUGCUUCUGAGGCGGAAGACUGGACCCAUCUGGUGACAACAAGAUAAAGAGGAAGAAGAGAGAUGGAGUGAUGUCCGUUUCCCCAAAGGAUGAAUCAACAGGUGUCAGCGGCACACUGGUGGACUGAUUCGCCACAGCCAUCAUUCCCCUGGGCUGAGAAGCAACAACAACAACAACAACAACAAUCCCUAGCUGCAAGGUAGAGGUUCCAAGCCACUGAACCUGUUAUUUUAUGCUGUGGCUGCUCCCUGUACAACAGGGUCUGGUGCCACCCUGGGAAGCUGAGAGAGGCACUUGGUAGUCCCCACUGGAACCCGAGAAGCAAUUCAGAGGCUUAGCGCCCCCGCCCCGGUGGCAAUGUGCUGCGGAAGCCCUGCCCACGCAUGCCUGGGAGAACAAACAGGGAAAGAAUCCAAGAUCAAGUUGUCCUUCAUCCAUUCAACCAGUGCUUACGAAGGAUCAGCUCUGGGCAAAGCACGAGCAAGCGUAUGGACAUAAACUCUAAGCAUCUAGGUCUCUAGACGCUGGAAGACUUUGGGGGACGUUUCCCUUCAUCUGCAAACGCCUUGUGCCUUCAGCCGCAUUUGCAUCCCGAAUAGCAUAAGAGGAUUUGGUCUGGGCUUCACGAAUGGACGUGCGCGCGAAGGAAGGAAUACUUGAAGGGGCCACCGAGGGAGGCUGGAGGACUCAGAGACACCUCCUGGAGAAGAUGAGGUGGGGCAGAUGAGGCCUGAGAUGGACAGGCUGAGCAGAACCACGCAGUGGAGGGUUGAAGAUGAAUAGCCUACAGCCUCGGUCUGUCGGGGGGUGGGGGGAGGCGGGGGAGCUGCUGCUGAUUCCCUCUCUAUGACUCAUAGACUCGGCCAAUGUGGCGUCUUACGUGAUCUUCUUGACAAGCCCCGGCCCUCUGAAUGGUGACAGAGAGAUUACUGUUAGCUCUACCGUGGUUUA
rnacentral:lncRNA from 1 species